GAUGAAGAACGCAGCGAAAUGCGAUAAGUAGUGUGAAUUGCAGAAUUCAGUGAAUCAUCGAAUCUUUGAACGCACAUUGCGCCCCUUGGUAUUCCAUGGGGCAUGCCUGUUCGUGCGUCAUUUGUACCUUCAAGCUUUGCUUGGUGUUGGGUGUUUGUCUCGCCUUUGCGUGUAGACUCGCCUUAAAAUAAUUGGCAGCCGGCGUAUUGAUUUCGGAGCGCAGUACAUCUCGCGCUUUGCACUCAUAACGACAGCGUCCAAAAGUACAUUUUACACUCUUGACCUCGGAUCAGGUAGGGAUACCCGCUGAACUUAAGCAUAUCAAUAAGCGGAGGA
rnacentral:misc_RNA from 1 species